GCAGGUCGAGCGACUGAUUAGAAGCUUGCUUCUAUGACGUUAGCGGCGGACGGGUGAGUAACACGUGGGCAACCUGCCUGUAAGACUGGGAUAACUUCGGGAAACCGAAGCUAAUACCGGAUAGGAUCUUCUCCUUCAUGGGAGAUGAUUGAAAGAUGGUUUCGGCUAUCACUUACAGAUGGGCCCGCGGUGCAUUAGCUAGUUGGUGAGGUAACGGCUCACCAAGGCAACGAUGCAUAGCCGACCUGAGAGGGUGAUCGGCCACACUGGGACUGAGACACGGCCCAGACUCCUACGGGAGGCAGCAGUAGGGAAUCUUCCGCAAUGGACGAAAGUCUGACGGAGCAACGCCGCGUGAGUGAUGAAGGCUUUCGGGUCGUAAAACUCUGUUGUUAGGGAAGAACAAGUACAAGAGUAACUGCUUGUACCUUGACGGUACCUAACCAGAAAGCCACGGCUAACUACGUGCCAGCAGCCGCGGUAAUACGUAGGUGGCAAGCGUUAUCCGGAAUUAUUGGGCGUAAAGCGCGCGCAGGCGGUUUCUUAAGUCUGAUGUG
rnacentral:rRNA from 1 species